AUUGAACGCUGGCGGCAUGCCUUACACAUGCAAGUCGAACGGCAGCACGGGACUCGGGCAACUGAGCCCUGGUGGCGAGUGGCGAACGGGUGAGUAAUGCAUCGGAACGUGCCCAGUAGUGGGGGAUAACUAGUCGAAAGAUUAGCUAAUACCGCAUACGACCUAUGGGUGAAAGACGGGGGAGUUCGCAAGAACCUCGCGCUAUCGGAGCGGCCGAUGUCUGAUAGCUAGUUGGCGGGGUAAAAGCCCACCAAGGCUUCGAUCAGUAGCUGGUCUGAGAGGACGACCAGCCACACUGGGACUGAGACACGGCCCAGACUCCUACGGGAGGCAGCAGUGGGGAAUUUUGG
rnacentral:rRNA from 1 species